AUCAGCCCCCUGGAAAUAGGAAGUACCCACUUCUGCAAUUGCACUGAGAACUGACACAACUCACCCAUCCCAGCUAUGGUUGAUUAAGCCAGUCAUGCUGCCAGCAGGCCUUCCCAACAAGCAGGCCAUGGCGCAAGAUGCUGCCAGCAAGAAGGGCCACUGGACUACCUCAAGACCCUUCUGUGAGUGCUGGUGCUAUCACUGAAUUUGUAUCCAGCAGUGCCGAAACAAGACACAGAUGCCAACGUAGGAGAAUUGCACCAACACUGAAUGGAUUUAUAAAACAUUGAAAUAAGAACAGAGAGUAGUUCUGAUCCAGUUUGACUUUUUUUGUACAUGUCCCAUCUAACUCCAGCCCCUGGAAGUCUGGUCUGGGAUGGGAUGUAAGUUUCAUCUCCAUAAUCUCUCUAACUGAGGCUCUGAGCCUGAUCUUCUUCCCUGUGACCUUUAUCUACGCGCAAUAUCAGCAUCAUCCUCCCCGUGGUGAUGGGGGCAGAGAAGCAGAAGGGCACCGUGGUGUCAAUGCCAAACUUGAAACAGAAUUCUCAUCUCAGGUGUAACUGUAAUGAGCUUUGAUCGCUUGCUCAAGUAUAUCCCCACCUGGUUUUGAAUCUGUAAUGAAUCAUCAGCUGGGGUCCCAAGUCACCACCGCGGGAGGACAGCCAAGCACAAAGAGAAUAGAAUCUUCUCUGGCUAAGCAGAAUGGUGUGGACCAGGGAGUAUCAAUAAUUCCCCAGUUAUUGGGAGGUGUGAGGAAAUGGAUCUAGGCUGAGUGAGCAUGAGCCCGCAGCCACAUGGGAGAGCCAGGCCAUCAGGAGUGGUGGUCACCUCUACACUGAUCAAGAAACUCCAUAUCAAGAAGUUGCCACCUCAGCUUCCUCAGACCCAGGACUCUCGGCUCCAGUCUGCACCGGCACAGCGAGAACCCUGGACCUGCCCUUGCCCACAUUGACUCGGCUCUGAAUCAAAGUCUUGCGUGAACACAUCUAAUGGGAGGUGCCCAAAUCACAUACAGAAUGGCACCACAAAUCACACCUGGGAAAUGUGGCUUUAACUUUUCAGCCUCAGCACUCUUCAGUGGGCCUGCAGGGGAAGGAGAGUGAGGAAGCCCUCAGGAUCCAUCACCAAGGGGUCAGUAAGGGCAAAACUGUCAGUUGAACAAGGGCAACUAUUUUUAAGAAGAGUGGAUUCUCUUGCGUAUCCGACCAGUUCAUUGGCUCCAUGGCAGGGGAGCUACCCUUUUUAACUCUUCAGCACCCUAAUUCAGCUCGACCUAUAAUAGGUAGAAUAGAAUAGAUGUUAAGUAAUCCUACUGCUCUGGUAAUCUUUCUUUAAUUUUUAUUUUUUCAAAUGCCUGACCUCGGACAGGAUGUUCAUGAAGAGAAGGCUACUCAUGGCCGGCGUCAGUUUCCUGAUGUGUCAUGGAGCCUCGCUAUUGGCUUUGCCAUUUGCUGGUCAAUGUGGUUUGUAGGCAAAGCCAAUGAAAUGGAUCCAGAAACGGAAUGUAACAUCUGUGACCAAUUCAAACCUUUCAACAUGAUGAUCUGUUUAUCAGAAACCAAAGCUGCUAAAAAGAAAGUACAAAAAAGAAGGGAAAAAAUCUAAAAAGCCAACUAUUCAUUAUAAGUUUGAAAACAACCUGUGUGCGGGCAUGCCUCUGUGUGUGUGUGUGUGUGUGUGUGUGUUUGUGUGCGUGUGUGUAGACCACAGUUUAAAAAACAAAUUAGAGUGUGGUGCAUGUUGAUUGGGGGUAACGAAUCUUCCAGGUCUACCCAGGAUUCGGGUAGUUUCCUAAAACAUGGUACUUCCAGUGCUGAACAAGGACACUCUUGGACAAAUCAGGCUGGCUGGUCAAAAUAAUGCGUCCUUAGACAUAGAGAUCUUGUAGCCUGUGGUCUGAAAUUUAGUGUUGCCAAACAUCACAGGAAGUUGCAAACUGUUGGACCGUAGAUUCAGCCAAUAUGGUGUUUGUUUUUAAAAAUGUGUUGCCAGCAUUUAAAAACAGAGACUUUGGCCAAAAU